CCUACGGGGGGCAGCAGUGGGGAAUAUUGGACAAUGGGCGAAAGCCUGAUCCAGCCAUGCCGCGUGUGUGAAGAAGGUCUUCGGAUUGUAAAGCACUUUAAGUUGGGAGGAAGGGCUGUCGGCUAAUACCCUGCAGUUUUGACGUUACCAACAGAAUAAGCACCGGCUAACUUCGUGCCAGCAGCCGCGGUAAUACGAAGGGUGCAAGCGUUAAUCGGAAUUACUGGGCGUAAAGCGCGCGUAGGUGGUUCAGCAAGUUGGAUGUGAAAGCCCCGGGCUCAACCUGGGAACUGCAUCCAAAACUACUGAGCUAGAGUACGGUAGAGGGUGGUGGAAUUUCCUGUGUAGCGGUGAAAUGCGUAGAUAUAGGAAGGAACACCAGUGGCGAAGGCGACCACCUGGACUGAUACUGACACUGAGGUGCGAAAGCGUGGGGAGCA
rnacentral:rRNA from 1 species